rnacentral:snRNA from 1 species
CAUCAGCGUGCUCCGGGC